rnacentral:rRNA from 1 species
GACGAACGCUGGCGGCGUGCUUAACACAUGCAAGUCGAACGGUAAGGCCCUUUCGGGGGUACACGAGUGGCGAACGGGUGAGUAACACGUGAGUAAUCUGCCUCUGACUUUGGGAUAAGCCCAAGAAAUUGGGUCUAAUACUGAAUAUUCAUCUUUGCGGGCAUCCGCGGGGGUGGAAAGUUUUUCGGUCAGGGAUGGGCUCGCGGCCUAUCAGCUUGUUGGUGAGGUAAUGGCUCACCAAGGCUUCGACGGGUAGCCGGCCUGAGAGGGCGACCGGCCACACUGGGACUGAGAUACGGCCCAGACUCCUACGGGAGGCAGCAGUGGGGAAUAUUGCACAAUGGACGGAAGUCUGAUGCAGCAACGCCGCGUGCGGGAUGACGGCCUUCGGGUUGUAAACCGCUUUCAGCAGGGACGAAGCGUGAGUGACGGUACCUGCAGAAGAAGCACCGGCCAACUACGUGCCAGCAGCCGCAGUAACAC